rnacentral:rRNA from 1 species
CCCGGUGAAGUUAGCAAAGUGGCCACACCCGAACCCAUCCCGAACUCGGAAGUUAAGCACUUUAGCGCCGAUGGUACUGCAGGGGUAGCUCUGUGGGAGAGUAGGACAUCGCCGGGU